UUAUUUCUGGAAUAUUCGUUAAGCUCUUAUUUUGAACCUACAUUUACAUUUUGGGAGUUCAAUAUUUAGAUGAAGAAAUGUACUUUCUUGUGAGUCCUUUUGUUCGGCAUUGAAGGCGAUUGAAACAUCUGUGAGGGCACCCACCUAUCGAGAGAUAGGCGUCAAAAUUAGAGUACCGGUAUUUUGGAUAUAAU
rnacentral:other from 1 species